rnacentral:rRNA from 1 species
UACGAAGGGGGCUAGCGUUGUUCGGAAUUACUGGGCGUAAAGGGCGCGUAGGCGGUGUGUCAAGUCAGGCGUGAAAGCCCCGGGCUCAACCCAGGAACUGCACUCGAAACUUCCGGUCUAGAGUGGUGGAGAGGGAAGUGGAAUUCCUGGUGUAGAGGUGAAAUUCGUAGAUAUCAGGAGGAACACCAGUGGCGAAGGCGGCUUCCUGGACACCAACUGACGCUGAGACGCGAAAGCGUGGGGAGCAAACAGG